rnacentral:rRNA from 1 species
AGUGAACGCUGGCGGUAGGCCUAACACAUGCAAGUCGAACGGCAGCACAGUAAGAGCUUGCUCUUACGGGUGGCGAGUGGCGGACGGGUGAGGAAUACAUCGGAAUCUACUUUUUCGUGGGGGAUAACGUAGGGAAACUUACGCUAAUACCGCAUACGACCUACGGGUUAAAGCAGGGGAUCUUCGGACCUUGCGCGAUUGAAUGAGCCGAUGUCGGAUUAGCUAGUUGGCGGGGUAAAGGCCCACCAAGGCGACGAUCCGUAGCUGGUCUGAGAGGAUGAUCAGCCACACUGGAACUGAGACAAGGUCCAGACUCCUACGGGAGGCAGCAGUGGGGAAUAUUGGACAAUGGGCGCAAGCCUGAUCCAGCCAUACCGCGUGGGUGAAGAAGGCCUUCGGGUUGUAAAGCCCUUUUGUUGGGAAAGAAAAGCAGCAGGUUAAUACCCCGCUGUUCUGACGGUACCCAAAGAAUAAGCACCGGCUAACUUCGUG